GGGGGCGAACUGGAUUCGACGGGGGUAUGGAAGCUUAAUGCUGCGUGCCGAGGCCCCGAACCUCGUAAAAAUCGGGACAAAAACACAAACGCCGACUCUGAAUACGAGUACG
rnacentral:tmRNA from 1 species